UUUUUUUAUUGAUCCCUUCUCAGCUUUUCACAACCACAUAUGAGACUUAUCCUCUCCAUUUCGAAAGAAACACAAACAAUACCCUUUUGUUCUUUUUACGGGUGGUCUUUAACACACAUAUUCCAUCUUGCAUUCAUCAAAUCCUUCACCAAAUGGACUGGGUAUGGAGUGAGUAGGAGGCAAAACGGACUACCAUCACACAAAAGAUUUUGAAUUUUGCAUCUUGUAGUUCACUCUUCCAUUGUUCUAAAGUUGAAAACAUGGCUGGGUAUCUCUUGAUCUUGAGUAAAGCCCACUCUAUCAGAGCUACACAGUGACUGGGUAACCUUGAAUUGCAGGAGUGGGACUGUCAAGCAAUGGCUUCGAAAGGGACUAGAGAAGACAAUGACGAAGGCAAACAAAAAAGUAUUACUAGACGCUCAUUUGCAUUUGCGGAAGCAUUAAGUCAAGCCACUGAAAAGAAUGCCGCAACAUUCAUGAAUAGGGUAACACAACGAGUCCUGAAUGAAGGUGAGUUACACGUCACCUUGGCCCAAGUUUCCAUAAUGAUAUACCGUCCGAUGUGGAGAAAGUUUUGAGCAAGCAUGAAGUAGAUGAUUCUAGUUACUUCAGCGAAGGAAAAACAUGGGGAGCAUGGGGCACAAAACCUAGAAAAUGGGGUAGUGAAACGGCCAAUUAGAUUCUAUGGGUCGAACGAGUUGAGAAGCAAUUUGGGGAUGUAUGGAAACGACUUGGGAUCUAUGACGCCAUCAAGCUUUCCACCAUUACUAUUCCGUGUAACCGACCCUUGCUGGCUGCCGCUAUGUGUUUUUGGAGUUCUCAAACCAACUCUCUGGAGCUUCAGUUUGGUGCACUUAGUCUGACCUUGAUUGAUAUAGCGACCAUUAUAGGUCUGCCGCCACCUGGGCAAGUGGUGGACAUUGUAUUUGCAGAAGGAAAGUUUGACAUUGAUCUUGGUUGCGAGCUAAGAGAUCGAAGUAAGGGUAGGCCAGCCGUUGCUAAUUUUAAUACAUGGAUUGAGGUGUUUAACAACGACUUGAUGAGUACGUCACUCGAUGGGGACAACGGCCUAGAAGAGAAAGAGGAAAGCCAACAUGAGACAAUGGAAGCUACUCGUGUAGAGC